GAAAAUACCUGUCAAAAUGGCUGGUGUGAGGAGACUAUGGAAAACUACAAAUGCCACUGCUCUGCUGGAUAUCGGGGGAAACGCUGCAAUGAACAAACAACUACUACACAGGACACCAAAACGAUGUCCACGAUGGAUAGCACCACCUCGGAUCCUACCACUACUACUCAAUCAACUACUGCACAAGACACCACAACGAUGUCCACAUUGGAAGCCACUACCUCACAUCCUACCACUACUA